rnacentral:rRNA from 1 species
UACGGGGGGGGUAAGCGUUGUUCGGAAUUAUUGGGCGUAAAGAGCGCGUAGGCGGCUUGGUAAGCCGGAUGUGAAACCCCCGAGCUCAACUCGGGGCGGCCAUUCGGAACUGCCAUGGCUAGAGUCUGGUAGGGGAACACGGAAUUCCUGGUGCAGCGGUGAAAUGCUUAGAUAUCAGGAGGAACACCAGUGGCGAAGGCGGUGUUCUGGGCCAGUACUGACGCUGAGGCGCGAAAGCGUGGGGAGCGAACAGG